rnacentral:rRNA from 1 species
CCUACGGGUGGCAGCAGUGGGGAAUAUUGGACAAUGGGGGGAACCCUGAUCCAGCCAUGCCGCGUGUGUGAAGAAGGCCCUCGGGUUGUAAAGCACUUUCAGUGAGGAAGAACGCCUGGAGGUUAAUACCCAUCAGGAAAGACAUCACUCACAGAAGAAGCACCGGCUAACUCCGUGCCAGCAGCCGCGGUAAUACGGAGGGUGCGAGCGUUAAUCGGAAUUACUGGGCGUAAAGCGCGCGUAGGUGGCUUGAUAAGCCGGUUGUGAAAGCCCCGGGCUCAACCUGGGAACGGCAUCCGGAACUGUCAAGCUAGAGUGCAGGAGAGGAAGGUAGAAUUCCCGGUGUAGCGGUGAAAUGCGUAGAGAUCGGGAGGAAUACCAGUGGCGAAGGCGGCCUUCUGGACUGACACUGACACUGAGGUGCGAAAGCGUGGGUAGCAAACAGGAUUAGAUACCCUUGUAGUC